AUAGCGUAUAUUAAAGUUGUUGCAGUUAAAAAGCUCGUAGUUGAACUUCAGACCUGGCUGGGCGGUCUGCUUAACGGCAUGUACUGUCUGGCUGAGUCUUACCUCUUGGUGAGCCAGUGUGCCCUUUAUUGGUGUGCAUUGGGGAACCAGGACUUUUACCUUGAGAAAAUUAGAGUGUUCAAAGCAGGCCUAUGCCCGAAUACAUUAGCAUGGAAUAAUAAAAUAGGACGUGCGGUUCUAUUUUGUUGGUUUCUAGAGUCGCCGUAAUGAUUAAUAGGGAUAGUUGGGGGCAUUGGUAUUGAGUCGCUAGAGGUGAAAUUCUUGGAUUGACUCAAGACCAACUAUUG
rnacentral:rRNA from 1 species